GUGAAAUUGUUUUCCCCAGGAUCACAUAGCUUUAAUGUGUGAAGAAGACCUUGGAAACCCCAAGAGUAACCUAGCCCAACCUGCUACAGCAGGUUCCACAAAAUUGGAAGGACUUCCAGUACAGGUCCUUAGAUCGGAUGGCCAAGGCCUGGCCUACCAUCACCAGAAGAAUGGCCUUGGAGUGAAGAAUGAUUUUCAGCUUCAAUUCACAAACUCUAAGAGUCUACGAUCCUAUGAAUGUGCAAUGCUGAAGGGAAGGAAGAUGAGUGAAGAGGAACUUCUGUUGGGCAUAUAACCAAGCUAAUGAGGAUUCCAAGUGAGGAUAGAGUGCCUUACACGUAGUAGGCACUUAAUAUAUGUUUCUUUGUAUGAAUGAAUGAAUAAAUAAAUAAGUGAAAAAGACAGAGGCGAGCAUAACUCUUGUCCACAGGCCUAGAUCAGCCCUUUUUCCUCAGCUUCACUGCCUGGAGUUGUGGGGUCUCAAAUAUAGUUUAAGGAACCCUCUAUACCUAGAAUGUCAUGAUCCAGAUUAGCUCAUGCGAAAACCCGGAGCAUCUGGAUUAGGGACACAAUCUCCCAUAUAUACAUAGAGACGUACGGUCAAGCACAUACUCAUACAAAGACACAUGCAAUCACACAAUGAAGUACCACCAUGGUCAGAAUGCCAAUUCUGCUUUUCUCCAGAAUUUGGCUUGUAGGAAAUCUAG